UCUCGCCUCCUCAUCUUUGCUAUGUGUGAGAGCAGCGGCGAGAUCGGCGGGAGUGGGGAUGUUCUCUGGUUCACGAUCGAUGGUCGCAGAUGGCGGAAGCUAGGGUGGAUAUUGCACACCAUAUGUUUCCAAUGGGGAGAGAACCCUGGCAAGUGGAAUUCUACCUGAAAUCUCUAACCAUACAACUAGACGUAUGCUCCUUGUAAGUACCUUAGACUGCCCAAUCUGUCUCAUUUUUAUUUGUCCUUCAGGUAUAGCAUUUACCAUGCUAGUGCUUGCUCUUUUCUCAUUGCUAAAUUUUGAUCUUUUAAAAAGCAUUCUCAGUUUACUUCCUUAUAUUACAAGUCCUACUUCCAAUAAUGGUUCAAUUUUUGCACUAUAUCUAGUGUAUUUCUAGGGCCAAUUGGCUAUUUGUUUUAGUAUUAGGUAGGGUUUUUAAUACCAUUCCGUACCAUCCGAUAUAGGCAGUACAUGCUGGUCUGCCAGCUGAUCGGCACAUGGACCGCUCGCUAUCGGGCGGUAUCAAGUAUUUGGUUGUGGCGAGGAAGAAGAGGGAGAAGCAUCGAGAAAGAGGACUACAGAGUCAUCGAUGCGCCAUUACUAGCGUCUUGAUGAACUUGAGCCCGUCGAACUUUGACGCUAACUUAUCUUCUACACCCUUUCUUGAUCUUGAUCCGAUGUCGCUCUCCCUCGAUGAUCUCAAUCCAAGAUGUAACAGUGAGCCGUACCUCUUUAGAAGAGGAGUUGGAGGUGCGGGGAUCGGGGGAGGCGAUGGUGAAAGUAGCAAAAGAGGCGACGAAGACCUCGACCUUCAUCACUGAACGGUCUCUUUCGUCCAUUGUCAUCGCACGGAGAACCUUUCGAUGUCAUCUUUCUUCUCCCCACCUCCUUGACGUCGAAGGCUGUAGUCAAGGUGACGAGGAGAAGAAGGAUGAGACGAUGACGACGAGGCUAAAAUUGAUUUUUAUAUUUUUUUCUAGGUAUAUCACUUGGUACCACGUAUCUUAUCGUAUCAAGCAAGGCAAUAAUAUGAAAUUAAAAACCUUGAUAUUAGGGAUAUUAAUUAUCUCCAGUUUUUGCUUUUAAAUUCCUAUGCAAGUUUAGUUUCCUACACCAAACGUCCAAAAAAUCAAGGCAGCCGGGUAGGAUGAUAUGCAAUUUGUGCAUGAUAAAUUGUCCUACUCACGGAAGCAUCCAAUGCUCCAUGUACAACACGAUAUGCUGCUUCUCGCCGAGCACGUGUCCAAUGGUAAGACAAUGUGACCGGGGUAUAAACGAACCAAGUGCCGUUGGAGACUAGUUUUUGUGGUCUGCUCAGGUGUGGGAGGAACUGGAUUACCUGUUGUUGGGUUAUAUGCUUGUGUCUAACUCGAACUACUCCAGAUUCGCAUCUCCUUGAGCUCUCAGAUGGGGGUGUUCGGGGAGCAACUUGGAGGUCUCGGAACAUAUAAAUUUAACUAGGAUGAGGCGGAGAAGAUUAUAACAGCACAUCG